CCUCCGUGAGGCAGCAGUGGGGAAUAUUGGGCAAUGGAGGAAACUCUGACCCAGCGACGCCGCGUGCGGGAUGAAGGCCUUCGGGUUGUAAACCGCUUUCAGCAGGGAAGAAGCGAAAGUGACGGUACCUGCAGAAGAAGCACCGGCUAACUAUGUGCCAGCAGCCGCGGUAAUACAUAGGGUGCAAGCGUUGUCCGGAAUUAUUGGGCGUAAAGAGCUCGUAGGUGGUUCGUCACGUCGGAUGUGAAAAUCUGGGGCUUAACCCCAGACCUGCAUUCGAUACGGGCGAGCUUGAGUAUGGUAGGGGAGUCUGGAAUUCCUGGUGUAGCGGUGGAGUGCGCAGAUAUCAGGAGGAACACCAAUGGCGAAGGCAGGACUCUGGGCCAUUACUGACACUGAGGAGCGAAAGCGUGGGGAGCGAACAGGAUUAGAUACCCUGGUAGUCCACGCCGUAAACGGUGGGCACUAGUUGUGGGGACCUUCCACGGUCUCUGCGACGCAGCUACGCAUAAGUGCCCGCCGUCGGGAGGUACGAGUCGCGAAGAAGUUAAAACGUUAAAAGGUAAAGUUAGUACGGCGUGAGACGUGCCGACGGACGACGACGAGGGAGGAGG
rnacentral:rRNA from 1 species